GCGAGGCUGGAGCGGUAGAGCGCGGCGCGCACCGUCACGGCCGCCAGCACCACCAGCACCAAGGGGGCCGCCAUCUCGGCGCGCGCUCCGCCGCUGCCUCCGGCUGUAGUUCCCGGGCGGCGCCGGGGAGCACGCCGCCAAUGAACCGGCCCGCCCGGGCAGACUACAUAUCCCAGCAGCCGUCGCGCCUCCACCUCCCAGCGCAACUCGGAACUACGGCGGCCGCUUGGGGGACUAAAUUAGCAGGAGCGCGCUUGCAGCGGCCAGGUGGGGGUCCCUGUCCCGUCCCCCCAGCUGUCCCGUUCGGGUCGCUCUUGCCCAAGAUGGCCACAAGGGACAGCCCCUGCUCUGCCGGAGGACAGGGAUGGGUCUGCCCUCGAGUGGCAUCACGCUCCCCGCGGUCCGUCCCUCCCUCCUAUGGAUCCCAGGUGCCUCUGGAUGGGGACUCUGCCCAGCCGGGGCAAGGCGCGGCGGGCUGGGCCCAGCUCGGACGAGGAGCGUCGGUGGCUUCUGAGCGGUUUGGGAAUCCCCUCAGACAGUUUUUUAUUUUUCAGCCUCCAGGUGUUGUUGCCUCACAAAAAGAAGCAGAUCUGAUGGAGCCAAACACGCAAUAGAGCUGCUGCUGCUGCUGCUGCUGCUGCUGCUGCUGCUGGGAGAUCUGCGCUCCCUCGGUCGCUCUGCCCACACGAGGCGCCUACGCCAAGCACAGGGGAUGGAUGAAUUCAACCUGGGCAUGUUGCGUCACAGAACUUUCAUAAAACACUAUGUUUAACACUGAGCCAAUUCAGGGAUGAUUCAUCUUUGUUCCUGCAAACAGAUGCUGGUAUGGGCAUUUCUUGUGUGCCCUGCUGGAAUUAUGCAAUGGUGACAUUUUUUGGGGUAAACAAGCCACUCCUUUUCCUGACUCACUAUACAAAUUAGGUGUUCUGAUUCCUGAGGCACCCUCUAGUCCUCCCUGGCAACUCUUCCAGCCUAAUGCAGAAUGCAGUUGUUUUUUUUUUGUUUGGUUUUUUUGUUUUUUUUUUUUUUNUUUUUUUUUUUUUGUUUGGUGGGGUUUUUUUUUUUUUUUUUUGCAUUUGGGAGGCCACAGCUUUGUUGUUAUUCUGAGAUUUCAUCAGGGCCCUGUCCAAUGACUUACAUAUCUCAGGGAUGCUUCCUGUUCCUGUGGGAUGUAUCCCACCCUGUCCCAUGUCCCAGGGGUUCACCCAACAUUUAUUUUGGCCAAGCUGUCAUGUUUUAUUUUCAUAGUCAACCACUUCAGUGUUAUACUUUGUUUCCUUCUGCCUUUCCCACCACAGACCUUGCACAGCAGUAGUUAUUGCAUUGUAGUCAUUAGGGGUCUUCAGUGGGUUUGGUGUUCCUGAGAAAGUCACAUUUACAUACUCUUAUCUCACUGUACUGGGGUCCUUUACUGAUAAACAUUUGAGUUGCUUUUGCCUCUUUUCAAGUUGUCUUCUGUUGGAGUUUAUUGACUAGAACACCUGACAGCUUUUGGGUUUAUCAGUGAAAAAAUACCCAUAAAUU
rnacentral:lncRNA from 1 species